GGGCGGGAGCCGCUCGGAGGGGUCGCGGGGAGGUGGGGAACGAGCAGGAUGCUCCAGGCAGAGUCCCGGCAAGGGGAGAGCCCGCGGGGCCAAGAUUCCCCAGCUAGAGCGUCUCCAGGCUGGAGAGCUCAGGGACACCACAGGUUCUUGAGGGGCAGGAGCCCGUCAGAGCUCGGGUGCUGUGGCAGCACAGGAGACACGGCUGAAGGAGGGGCCUCAAAAGCCCCAAAGUGCCUCCAAGCGCCAUGGAGAGAGACUUCGGACAAGGGCCUGAAGUGAGUGGACACAGGUGUCCAGCACUGCCCGGAUCCCUCAGGGUGACGCACCGGCCCCGGCUCAGGUUUCCAGACAGUGGCACCUGGUCAGGAGCGGGUGACCUGCUCUGGGAAUGCGCCUGACUUCUGCGACAACAUCAUCAUCCACAUACCAAAAGAAUGAAACAAUGACUGAAAACAUUCACACAGUGCCUGGGAGCAGAUUUGCACAGAUAGGAGCUUUAUUUCACAAGAAAAAGUUGUAACUCAAAUUUGAUCUUACCAAAGGAGCCUCUGUUAAUUUAUCAGGUGUAAAUUCCCUAUCUCAGCUUUGAAUAUUAAUUUCAAAGAAGUAAAAUAAUAAAAGAGGUGGGCAAAGUAUAGCCAGGAGUAAACUGCUGCCAGUUUCUAUCAGCAGGGAAGUUUCUGCCCAGUGCAGAGGAGCUCUGGCUGUUUAAUUCUGACCAUCAUCCAAGCAGCUUCCCCAGGAAAAACUGCAGAGUUGGGUUAAUUUAUUAAGAGUUAAAAAAAAGCCUAAAGGUGGAGAAGCCCAAGUUUAUAACUGCUUGAGGAAAUUUCAAUGAGGCUCACAUUUCUGAGUGCAGCAGAGUUCUAUGUAAACUUCAAUUUUGCUUCUGUGUAGAGCAAAAGAAACUGGGCAAUUCACUACAAAUCUUUUUUCUUUCGCCUAUUUCCCUUAUAAGUAGUAACACAGUCAUCUAACCAAGGUGUUACAGUCACUCUUCAAAAGGUUCAAUGCAAAUUCAUUGAAAACAGAUAAUUAUUACCGUAGUUUGUUGCAAAGGUUGUUGCCAGGUAGUUGCCACACACAGUUGUGGCCUCUGCAGCCUUUCCUCCCCAUCUGGGGUAGAAUUUCAACAUCACAGCAAAACUUUAUGAACUGAAGUUACUUCCCACAUCCACAGAAAUAAAUUUUUGCAGGAUCCAAUUUGGACAGGCUGUUACUUUCAUCUCCUACGGCAGCGCUGUGUUCCCAGCAUGGAUGAAAGGGAAUAUUUUCAGGAAUAAAAUCCCCUGGGAUUGUUGUAACCAUGGUAACACAUAUAGAUAGCAGGCCUGGUUCCAACCCAUGUUUUAUUAUUCCAGCAGUAAAGAACUGGAUUCUAUAAAUAACCAUCCUUGGCCACUGCAAUAAAGUACUGCUCUUUUGCUUUCCCAUCAAAAUAAUUUUUUUUUAAUUAUUAUAUUCCUAUAGUUAAAACACUCAGGAUAAAGUGCCAAGAUCAGUUCUGUGAUCAAUCUAAGUGGGAAGUCUUGUUUCCUAAGCCACAGUGAGUGAGAAAGGGAAGAGUAUUCAGAUAUUUAAUGAAUACCAGAUAGAUAUGAAUAUUUCUGUAAUAAUAAAUUCAUAUUUCACUGCUGAAUAAAUAACAGAACUUUAAGCUUGAAAUAAAAAUUAAAAAAUAAAAAACAUC